ACGCCCUACGGGGGAAAAAUUUAUUGCUAUUAGAUGAGCCUAUAUUAGAUUAGUUAGUUGGUGAGGUAAAGGCUUACCAAGACAAUGAUCUAUAGCUGAUCUGAGAGGAUGAUCAGCCACACUGGAACUGAGAUACGGUCCAGACUCCUACGGGAGGCAGCAGUGGGGAAUAUUGGACAAUGGGCGAAAGCCUGAUCCAGCCAUGCCGCAUGAGUGAAGAAGGCCUUCGGGUUGUAAAGCUCUUUUAGUGAGGAAGAUAAUGACGGUACUCACAGAAGAAGUCCUGGCUAACUCCGUGCCAGCAGCCGCGGUAAUACGGAGAGGGCUAGCGUUAUUCGGAAUCAUUGGGCGUAAAGGGCGCGUAGGCGGGUUAGUAAGUUAAAAGUGAAAUCCCAAGGCUCAACCUUGGAACUGCUUUUAAAACUGCUAGUCUAGAGAUUGAAAGAGGAUAGAGGAAUUCCUAGUGUAGAGAUGAAAUUCGUAAAUAUUAGGAGGAACACCAGUGGCGAANGCGUCUAUCUGGUUCAAAUCUGACGCUGANGCGCGAANGCGUGGGGAGCAAACAGGAUUAGAUACCCNGGUAGUCCACGCUGUAAACGAUGAAUGUUAAAUAUGGGAAGUUUACUUUCUGUAUUAUAGCUNACGCGUUAAACAUU
rnacentral:rRNA from 1 species